AGAGUUUGAUCCUGGCUCAGGAUGAACGCUAGCGACAGGCUUAACACAUGCAAGUCGAGGGGCAGCGGGGGCGAAGCUUGCUUCGCCUGCCGGCGACCGGCGCACGGGUGAGUAACACGUAUGCGACCUGCCCCCCGCAGGGGGAUAACCGGGAGAAAUCCCGACUAAUACCGCGUAACGCCGCUGGGCUGCAUGGCCCGGCGGCCAAAGGAAGCGAUUCCGGCGGGGGAUGGGCAUGCGGCGCAUUAGCUAGUCGGCGGGGUAACGGCCCACCGAGGCGACGAUGCGUAGGGGUUCUGAGAGGAAGGUCCCCCACACUGGUACUGAGACACGGACCAGACUCCUACGGGAGGCAGCAGUGAGGAAUAUUGGUCAAUGGGCGGGAGCCUGAACCAGCCAAGUCGCGUGAGGGAAGACGGUCCUACGGAUUGUAAACCUCUUUUGCCGGGGAGCAACGGGGUCCUUGCGAGGGCCCGAUGAGAGUACCCGGAGAAAAAGCAUCGGCUAACUCCGUGCCAGCAGCCGCGGUAAUACGGAGGAUGCGAGCGUUAUCCGGAUUUAUUGGGUUUAAAGGGUGCGUAGGCGGGCUGUUAAGUCAGCGGUCAAAUGUCGGGGCUCAACCCCGGCCUGCCGUUGAAACUGGCGGCCUCGAGUGGGCGAGAAGUAUGCGGAAUGCGUGGUGUAGCGGUGAAAUGCAUAGAUAUCACGCAGAACUCCGAUUGCGAAGGCAGCAUACCGGCGCCCGACUGACGCUGAGGCACGAAAGCGUGGGUAUCGAACAGGAUUAGAUACCCUGGUAGUCCACGCAGUAAACGAUGAAUGCUAGCUGUCCGGUUCUACGGGACUGGGUGGCACAGCGAAAGCGUUAAGCAUUCCACCUGGGGAGUACGCCGGCAACGGUGAAACUCAAAGGAAUUGACGGGGGCCCGCACGAGCGGAGGAACAUGUGGUUUAAUUCGAUGAUACGCGAGGAACCUUACCCGGGCUCAAACGCCAAAGGACAGCCGCUGAAAGGCGGCCUCCCUCCGGGGUCUUUGGCGAGGUGCUGCAUGGUUGUCGUCAGCUCGUGCCGUGAGGUGUCGGCUUAAGUGCCAUAACGAGCGCAACCCCCAUCGACAGUUGCUAACGGGUGAUGCCGAGGACUCUGUCGAGACUGCCGGCGCAAGCUGCGAGGAAGGCGGGGAUGACGUCAAAUCAGCACGGCCCUUACGUCCGGGGCGACACACGUGUUACAAUGGCCGGUACAGCGGGAUGCCAGGGCGCGAGCCCGAGCGGAACCCGAAAACCGGUCUCAGUUCGGAUUGGAGUCUGCAACCCGACUCCAUGAAGCUGGAUUCGCUAGUAAUCGCGCAUCAGCCACGGCGCGGUGAAUACGUUCCCGGGCCUUGUACUCACCGCCCGUCAAG
rnacentral:rRNA from 1 species